UAAGAAGCUCUCAAAGAAAGGAGUGUCAUAUUGCAAAAUCUGUUGAUUACAAAAGUCAAUCGGUAUAGAAAGAAUACUGAAAAAAAAAAAAGUCAACUUACCAGCAAGGUUUGUAAAAGCGUUUGACAGUGCCAAAGCAGACGAAACUCCCUUUCCACCACCGGACAUAUCCUCACCCAACAGCAGUUUGGCAAAUCUUUCCUUCAUCUGUUCCAUUUCUGAAUUAAUCCCAGCCAUGAAUGUCAACUUUUCAGACAAAUCCAAUAAAAGUGAUGAAGAGAAUUUGCUGAUCUUCUCUUUGGCUUCCUUUGCUGCCAAUUCCUCCUUGGUUAGCGUCCUUGGUUUGGGAAUCUUGUCUAAAUCAUUAAGAGGCUUUGAUCCUUGACUUCUUGAAGAGGCUGCACCAUCCUCUGUAGGUUCCAAUUGGGUAGCAGUGUCAAUGCUGAGGCUCUUGGUAUGCCUUCCAGUGCCCUCAAAUAUCCCUUUGAAGUUAAACAAUCUGGUCCUGCCACCACCUUCCUGAUCUUGUUCUCCUGCUUGAACCAUGUUUCCUCUUCUUUUUUUAUAUUUCCAAGAAAAGGUUAACCUUUAAGGUGGAACAAAACAUGGGGUGUCCCAGAACCUGCAGGGAGAGAAGGAAACUAGCAGAGGGGAAGCCAAGGCAAAGAAUGGAAAAGGAGUUGUAUUUUCUUUUUGGAGUUGGUGAGUUUGAGAAAAGGGUGGAGGUUGUUUUUUUGUUCUUUUUUUUUUUGUUAGCCUUUCUUUUUUGAGCUGGAUUCUCUGAACGUGGGGUGCAUGUUGUAAGAAAUGUAAUGGGUUUAAGAGUGAGAGAAACAAAAUUUGCAUUAUUUUUGUUUUGUUUUGGGAGCUUUUGCUCUGGAAUGCUUAAGGGAAAUUGGAUGGUUCUUGAUUAA